rnacentral:rRNA from 1 species
GAUGAACGCUAGCGGCAGGCCUAAUACAUGCAAGUCGAACGAGAUUAAGAGGCUUGCUUCUUAUGAAAGUGGCGCACGGGUGCGUAACGCGUAUGCAACCUACCUUAAUCAGGGGGAUAGCCCGAAGAAAUUCGGAUUAAGACCGCAUAAAAACACAGGAUAGCAUUAUCCAAUGUUCAAAUAUUUAUAGGAUUAAGAUGGGCAUGCGUGUCAUUAGCUAGUUGGCGGGGUAACGGCCCACCAAGGCGACGAUGACUAGGGGAUCUGAGAGGAUGACCCCCCACACUGGUACUGAGACAAGGACCAGACGCUUACGGGAGGCAGCAGUAAGGAAUAUUGGUCAAUGGAGGGAACUCUGAACCAGCCAUGCCGCGUGCAGGAAGACAGCCCUCUGGGUCGUAAACUGCUUUUAUUCGGGAAUAAACCUUUCUACGUGUAGGAAGCUGAAUGUACCGAAGGAAUAAGGAUCGGCUAACUCCGUG